rnacentral:rRNA from 1 species
GAUGAACGCUGGCGGCGUGCCUAAUACAUGCAAGUCGAGCGAACGGACGAGAAGCUUGCUUCUCUGAUGUUAGCGGCGGACGGGUGAGUAACACGUGGAUAACCUACCUAUAAGACUGGGAUAACUUCGGGAAACCGGAGCUAAUACCGGAUGAUAUUUUGAACCGCAUGGUUCAAAAGUGAAAGACGGUCUUGCUGUCACUUAUAGAUGGAUCCGCGCUGCAUUAGCUAGUUGGUAAGGUAACGGCUUACCAAGGCAACGAUGCAUAGCUGACCUGAGAGGGUGAUCGGCCACACUGGAACUGAGACACGGUCCAGACUCCUACGGGAGGCAGCAGUAGGGAAUCUUCCGCAAUGGGCGAAAGCCUGACGGAGCAACGCCGCGUGAGUGAUGAAGGUCUUCGGAUCGUAAAACUCUGUUACUAGGGAAGAACAUAUGUGUAAGUAACUGUGCACAUCUUGACGGUACCUAAUCAGAAAGCCACGGCUAACUACGUG